AAAAAAAGGAAAACUUCAUUUGUCUACUCUCUUAUAUUAUGUAAGGUCCUCUAUCAUUAGUAGAAGAAAUGUUGUGGGACAGAAAAAGAUACAGCUGAAGCACAGAUUGUUAUAUUACACCUUAGGAAAGCUGAUCUCUGCAACAAUAGCUGGAAUAAAGGGCAGACCAACAGGAUAUAAGACGUAAUUAUCGAAUCUUCAUGACUAUAGAAUCUUCAUACUUGCUAAGGAGGAGACACCAUGAACUAACAUCA